rnacentral:rRNA from 1 species
CAGCAGCCGCGGUAAUACGGAGGGAGCUAGCGUUGUUCGGAAUUAUUGGGCGUAAAGGGCUCGCAGGCGGUUUCUUAAGUCUGAUGUGAAAGCCCCCGGCUCAACCGGGGAGGGUCAUUGGAAACUGGGAAACUUGAGUGCAGAAGAGGAGAGUGGAACUCCACGUGUAGCGGUGAAAUGCGUAGAGAUGUGGAGGAACACCAGUGGCGAAGGCGACUCUCUGGUCUGUAACUGACGCUGAGGAGCGAAAGCGUGGGGAGCGAACAGGAUUAGAUACCCCGGUAGUCCCUGUCUCUUAUAC